UGGGGAAUUUUGGACAAUGGGCGAAAGCCUGAUCCAGCAAUGCCGCGUGUGUGAAGAAGGCCUUCGGGUUGUAAAGCACUUUUGUCCGGAAAGAAAUCCUUGGCUCUAAUACAGUCGGGGGAUGACGGUACCGGAAGAAUAAGCACCGGCUAACUACGUGCCAGCAGCCGCGGUAAUACGUAGGGUGCAAGCGUUAAUCGGAAUUACUGGGCGUAAAGCGUGCGCAGGCGGUUUGCUAAGACCGAUGUGAAAUCCCCGGGCUCAACCUGGGAACUGCAUUGGUGACUGGCAGGCUAGAGUAUGGCAGAGGGGGGUAGAAUUCCACGUGUAGCAGUGAAAUGCGUAGAGAUGUGGAGGAAUACCGAUGGCGAAGGCAGCCCCCUGGGCCAAUACUGACGCUCAUGCACGAAAGCGUGGGGAGCAAACAGGAUUAGAUACCCUGGUAGUCCACGCCCUAAAACGAUGUCAACUAGUUGUUGGGGAUUCAUUUCCUUAGUAACGUAGCUAACGCGUGAAGUUGACCGCCUGGGGAGUACGGUCGCAAGAUUAAAACUUAAAGGAAUUGACGGGGUCAUAGCUGUUUCCU
rnacentral:rRNA from 1 species